AUUUGAACUUGGAAUUAUUUUUAAUUAUGGAAUUUGUAUAAUUUUUUCCGCUUGAAAUUUUUUAUAAAUUCCAUGUUUAUUUUGUACUUGAAUGUUCUGUGCUGCGCACAACACUUUCUUUUACAAAGAAGAUGGUACAUUUUCAAUAGAAUGUACUGUGCCGCGCACAACACUAUCUAUACAAAAUACAUUGUAUCGAAAGUGUA
rnacentral:lncRNA from 1 species